rnacentral:rRNA from 1 species
AUUGAACGCUGGCGGCAGGCCUAACACAUGCAAGUCGAACGAGUGGCGGACGGGUGAGUAAUGUCUGGGAAAUUGCCUGCUCGAGGGGGAUAAAUACUGGAAACGGUAGCUAAUACCGCAUACCAUCAGAUGUGCCCAGAUGGGAGUAGCUUGUUGGUUGGGUAACGGCGAACCAAGGCGACGAUCCCUAGCUGGUCUGGGAGGGUGACCAGCCACACUGCAACUGAGACACGGUCAAACCUCCUAGGGGAGGAAGCAGUGGUGAAUAUUGCACAAUGGGCGAAAGCGUGAUGCAGCCAUGCCGCGUGUAUGAAGGGGGCCUUCGGGUUGUAAAGUACUUUCAGCGGUGAGGCGUUACCCGCAGAAGAAGCACCGGCUAACUCCGUGCCAGCAGCCGCGGUAAUUC